AUUGAACGCUAGCGGGAUGCCUUACACAUGCAAGUCGAACGGAGUGGCGAACGGGUGAGUAAUGUAUCGGAACGUGCCCAGUAGCGGGGGAUAACUACGCGAAAGCGUAGCUAAUACCGCAUACUAUUGGAGCGGCCGAUAGCGGAUUAGCUAUGUGGUGGGGUAACGGCUCACCAAGGCGACGAGCCGUAGCUGGUUUGAGGGGACGACCAGCCACACUGGGACUGAGACACGGCCCAGACCCCUACGGGAGGAAGCAGUGGAGAAGUUUGGACUAUGGGGGAAACCCUGAUACAGCCAUCCCGCGUGUGCGAUGAAGGCCUUCGGGUUGUAAAGUUCUUUUGGCAGGAAAGCGGUACCUGCAGAAUAAGCGCCGGCUAACUACGUGCCAGCCGCCGCGGUAAUUC
rnacentral:rRNA from 1 species